AUUGAACGCUGGCGGCAGGCCUAACACAUGCAAGUCGAGCGAGCGGCGGACGGGUGAGUAAUGUAUGGGAAACUGCCCGAUGGAGGGGGAUACCUACUGGAAACGGUAGCUAAUACCGCAUACCAUCAGAUGUACCCAUAUGGGAUUAGCUAGUUGGUGUGGUAAAGGCUCACCAAGGCGACGAUCACUAGCUGGUCUGAGAGGAUGACCGUCCAAACUGGAACUGAGACACGGCCCAGACUCCUACGGGAGGGAGCAGUGGGGAAUAUUGCACAAUGGGCGCAAUCCUGAUGCAGCCAUGCCGCGUGUAUGAAGAAGGCCUUCGGGUUGUAAAGUACUUUCAGUGGGGAGGCGUUACCGACAGAAGAAGCACCGGCUAACUCCGUGCCAGCAGCCGCGGUAAUUC
rnacentral:rRNA from 1 species